ACGCAGAUAAAACUUCGUCUGAUUACGAUCUCGCUGCCUAAGCGAGCGCUGUAAUCCGUUGCCCUGAGCUUGCUCUCGCCUCAGGCCCCAACGUCGAUAGAGGGCUUACCAACCGAUAACGUUGUGAUUAUCGGCAGGGACAUCUAACACAACUGCGUUCGUCGACUACUUGUGUGCGUGAGAGUCGGGACAGAGAAAGCGAUUAGCACACUACGCCCGUAGAAGCCCUGUAUCAGUGUCGAAGGACCCGGGUUCGAUUCCCGGCACCUCCACCA
rnacentral:tmRNA from 1 species